rnacentral:misc_RNA from 1 species
GAUGAAGAACGUAGCGAAAUGCGAUAAGUAGUGUGAAUUGCAGAAUUCAGUGAAUCAUCGAAUCUUUGAACGCACAUUGCGCCCUUUGGUAUUCCUUAGGGCAUGCCUGUUCGAGCGUCAUUUGAAACCUCAAGCUCAGCUUGGUGUUGGGUGUCUGUCCCCGCCUCCGCGGGGACUCGCCUCAAAAUCAUUGGCGGCCGGUACGUUGGCUUCGAGUGCAGCAGAAACGCGAACUCGAGGCCCGGCGGAUCGGCGACCAGAAGUCUCUUCUUCACAGUUUGACCUCGGAUCAGGUAGGGAUACCCGCUGAACUUAAGCAUAUCAAUAAGCGGAGGA